GACGAACGCUGGCGGCGUGCUUAACACAUGCAAGUCGAACGGAAAGGCCCUGCUUUUGUGGGGUGCUCGAGUGGCGAACGGGUGAGUAACACGUGAGUAACCUGCCCUCGACUUUGGGAUAACUUCAGGAAACUGGGGCUAAUACCGGAUAGGAGCUCCUGCUGCAUGGUGGGGGUUGGAAAGUUUCGGCGGUUGGGGAUGGACUCGCAGCUUAUCAGCUUGUUGGUGGGGUAGUGGCUUACCAAGGCUUUGACGGGUAGCCGGCCUGAGAGGGUGACCGGCCACAUUGGGACUGAGAUACGGCCCAGACUCCUACGGGAGGCAGCAGUGGGGAAUAUUGCACAAUGGGCGGAAGCCUGAUGCAGCAACGCCGCGUGCGGGAUGACGGCCUUCGGGUUGUAAACCGCUUUCGCCUGUGACGAAGCGUGAGUGACGGUAAUGGGUAAAGAAGCACCGGCUAACUACGUG
rnacentral:rRNA from 1 species